rnacentral:rRNA from 1 species
UACGAAGGGGGCUAGCGUUGCUCGGAAUCACUGGGCGUAAAGGGUGCGUAGGCGGGUCUUUAAGUCAGGGGUGAAAUCCUGGAGCUCAACUCCAGAACUGCCUUUGAUACUGAGGAUCUUGAGUUCGGGAGAGGUGAGUGGAAUUGCGAGUGUAGAGGUGAAAUUCGUAGAUAUUCGCAAGAACACCAGUGGCGAAGGCGGCUCACUGGCCCGGAACUGACGCUGAGAUGCGAAAGCGUGGGGAGCAAACAGG